GACGAACGCUGGCGGCGUGCUUAACACAUGCAAGUCGAACGGUAAGGCCCUUCGGGGUACACGAGUGGCGAACGGGCGAGUAACACGUGGGUGAUCUGCCCUGCACUUCGGGAUAAGCCUGGGAAACUGGGUCUAAUACCGGAUAGGACCCUGGGAUGCAUGUCCUGGGGUGGAAAGCUUUUGCGGUGGGGGAUGGGCCCGCGGCCUAUCAGCUUGUUGGUGGGGUGAUGGCCUACCAAGGCGACGACGGGUAGCCGGCCUGAGAGGGUGACCGGCCACACUGGGACUGAGAUACGGCCCAGACUCCUACGGGAGGCAGCAGUGGGGAAUAUUGCACAAUGGGCGCAAGCCUGAUGCAGCGACGCCGCGUGAGGGAUGACGGCCUUCGGGUUGUAAACCUCUUUCAGCACCGACGAAGCGCAAGUGACGGUAGGUGCAGAAGAAGGACCGGCCAACUACGUGCCAGCCGCCGCAGUAA
rnacentral:rRNA from 1 species